CUGAUGAAAAUUUCGAGUCCUGUUUAGUGAUUCUGUAAUUAUUCAUGCUCUUUUGUUUAGAUGGGAUUUGGUUAGCACCCUCUUUAGUACAAAAAAUUUAGCACCAACUAUCAGCUUGUAUCUGUUCCUAGUAGAUGGAUUAUAUAAAUUCUUCGCAUCCAAGUUUUAUUGGUGGGAACAAAGCUGUUGAGCUUGCUGUGAAGCAGAUGAGACAUCAAAGAGAGAGCGGAUGCUGAAAAGGUACCUAUAUCUGACAAGGGCCAGUUCUCCCAAACUGUUUGUUGAAAGUUGUCAACAAUGCAGCAGCAUGCAAAUGUCCACAAGAAUGCAGCAGCAAGCUAAUGUCCAUUAUGUGUUUUGGUUAUUAAACUUUUGUAACGCGUGACUUUUAUUGGUUUGAUUGUAACAUUUUGUUUAGCCAAGGAUUAGUCAAGUAUUUAGCUGAUUUAGUAGCUUUUUAGGUUAUCAUUAAGCUGAUUUUACAGCUUGGAUACUAGUGCAAGUCAAGUUUGUUUUCUUCCAA